rnacentral:rRNA from 1 species
GAGCUUGCUCCUCUGACGUUAGCGGCGGACGGGUGAGUAACACGUGGAUAACCUACCUAUAAGACUGGGAUAACUUCGGGAAACCGGAGCUAAUACCGGAUAAUAUAUUGAACCGCAUGGUUCAAUAGUGAAAGACGGUUUUGCUGUCACUUAUAGAUGGAUCCGCGCCGCAUUAGCUAGUUGGUAAGGUAACGGCUUACCAAGGCAACGAUGCGUAGCCGACCUGAGAGGGUGAUCGGCCACACUGGAACUGAGACACGGUCCAGACUCCUACGGGAGGCAGCAGUAGGGAAUCUUCCGCAAUGGGCGAAAGCCUGACGGAGCAACGCCGCGUGAGUGAUGAAGGUCUUCGGAUCGUAAAGCUCUGUUAUUAGGGAAGAACAAAUGUGUAAGUAACUAUGCACGUCUUGACGGUACCUAAUCAGAAAGCCACGGCUAACUACGUGCCAGCAGCCGCGGUAAUACGUAGGUGGCAAGCGUUAUCCGGAAUUAUUGGGCGUAAAGCGCGCGUAGGCGGUUUUUUAAGUCUGAUGUGAAAGCCCACGGCUCAACCGUGGAGGGUCAUUGGAAACUGGAAAACUUGAGUGCAGAAGAGGAAAGUGGAAUUCCAUGUGUAGCGGUGAAAUGCGCAGAGAUAUGGAGGAACACCAGUGGCGAAGGCGACUUUCUGG